ACUGUUCUUCAGGGUUUUCGAGUAAACUUAUCAUGGAUGCCAGACUCUGAUUCCAUCCAGACUUCGGAUCAAAACAACGGCCAAGUAUUUCUGCACGAUUAUCAAGAAAUACAUUGAAAAGUUCACUCUCAUUAUCAAAUUUCAUUCUUUCCUGAUUUCCAAAUAGAACUAUAUCUCCCAUCCCAUAAGUGUCAUAUUCAAGGAUCUUGACAACUGAACUCAGGACACGGGCUGCCACUUCCAACACUGCAAUAUUAGUAGGGGCACAAGUAAGUGUUCUGCAUUUCAUUGUAAAUAGAGCAUAUAUCAGAAAACCAACGGUCUUUGUUUUCCCAGUUCCUGGAGGACCCCAUAUUAAUUUGACAGUAUACUGAUGAGAGCAACCCCUUCCACCGAUACAGCUCAAAACAGCAUCUUUUUGGGAGUCAUUUAAGUUAAAAGAGCGGCACAUGUCCACCAUGCGUGACCAAAAAACCCCAUUAUUUUCUCCAGAUGAGCAAGUGAUACACUUCUCAUAAUCACUGGAAUUACUUUGCAGCACUUCCUUAAUAAUGUUCACGUUCUUCCCUUCCAACUCUGAGUUUAAUGCUCUCCAUAUACGAAUAUUUGUCGUCAAGCUUAUCAAAUAAACAGCAAAAAGUGUUUGUUUCUCCUUCUUCUUCUGCAUAUCUUGUUCAAUCAUGAUGGGCUUUGACGAGAGUAUUGAGAGUGCACCAGAAUCUUCACCUUUGACUGCAUGAACAUAAGCAAUAAGGUAGGAUUGUUUGGAUCUGCACAAAUCAUCAGUGCAUUUUGGUCUCUUAUCUGUGAGGGCAAUAACAUGUCCAACCUCAGGCUCAUAUAUUCCUGGAUCAUUCUUUGACCCUCCUCUUUUGAGUGAUAUUUUGUAAAACCAGUCUCUUGGAGGUUUAUAUGCCUUGGGGGAUAUAUUAAAAGAGGAUAUUUCAGAUGUGGGUGCUCGAGAAAGUGAUUGCAUACUAGAUGCCAACUCAGCAUGAACUUCCUCAACAAGUGGGGGAAUGAAUGUCUUCAUGUAGUGUGUUGUUGAUGUGAAUGUCUCUGGGAUCUUCUUCGCCUGAGAUUUGUAAAGAUCCUUGUUGAGAACAUCCUGAAUUGACCAAGAAAGCACCAAGUCUACUAAGCCUCUGCCCAUGAUCAUCUUUCCCUUGUUGUUACUGUUGUUGUCCAUUUUUUCUUCGAUCUUUCUGGAUUGAUGUAUGUAUUACAAGAAAAGGAAGCAGAAAACCCAAAUGAUAGGAAGAAAGAAUCAAGAAAACCCGAAUGGAAGGAAGGAGAAAACCCAGAGCUACGAAAUUGUUUUCUCAAUGAAGAAACAUAAAAAAAAGAAUUUGGCCAUAUUAUUCCUGGGAAAUAUAAAGUAGAGGGGGGGAAAAAGAAAAAUGAAAAAAGCAGACGUUGACUUGUGGUCAGUGAG
rnacentral:misc_RNA from 1 species